GACGACCGCUGGCGGCGUGCUUAACACAUGCAAGUCGAACGGAAAGGCCCUGCUUUUGUGGGGUGCUCGAGUGGCGAACGGGUGAGUAACACGUUAGUAACCUGCCCUUGACUUUGGGAUAACUUCAGGAAACUGGGGCUAAUACCGGAUAGGAGCUCCUGCUGCAUGGUGGGGGUUGGAAAGUUUCGGCGGUUGGGGAUGGACUCGCGGCUUAUCAGCUUGUUGGUGGGGUAGUGGCUUACCAAGGCUUUGACGGGUAGCCGGCCUGAGAGGGUGACCGGCCACAUUGGGACUGAGAUACGGCCCAGACUCAUACGGGAGGCAGCAGUGGGGAAUAUUGCACAAUGGGCGGAAGCCGGAUGCAGCAACGCCGCGUGCGGGAUGACGGCCUUCGGGUUGUAAACCGCUUUCGCCUGUGACGAAGCGUGAGUGACGGUAAUGGGUAAAGAAGCACCGGCUAACUACGU
rnacentral:rRNA from 1 species